ACUCCUACGGGAGGCAGCAGUGAGGAAUAUUGGUCAAUGGGCGCAAGCCUGAACCAGCCAUCCCGCGUGCAGGAAGACGGCCCUAUGGGUUGUAAACUGCUUUUCCAGGGGGAGAAUUUUUCUGUCGUGACAGGAAUUGACGGUACCCUGGGAAUAAGCAUCGGCUAACUCCGUGCCAGCAGCCGCGGUAAU
rnacentral:rRNA from 1 species